GACGAACGCUGGCGGCGUGCUUAACACAUGCAAGUCGAACGGAAAGGCCCUGCUUUUGUGGGGUGCUCGAGUGGCGAACGGGUGAGUAACACGUGAGUAACCUGCCCUUGACUUUGGGAUAACUUCAGGAAACUGGGGCUAAUACCGGAUAGGAGCUCCUGCUGCAUGGUGGGGGUUGGAAAGUUUCGGCGGUUGGGGAUGGACUCGCGGCUUAUCAGCUUGUUGGUGGGGUAGUGGCUUACCAAGGCUUUGACGGGUAGCCGGCCUGGGAGGGUGACCGGCCACAUUGGGCCUGAGGUACGGCCCGGACUCCUUCGGGGGGCAGCAGUGGGGAAUAUUGCACAACGGGCGGAGGCCGUGUGCAGGAUCGCCGCGUGGGGGAGGACGGCCUUCGGGUUGGAAACCGCUUUCGCCUGUGACGAAGCGUGAGUGACUGUACUGGGGAAAGAGGCACCGGCUAACUACUG
rnacentral:rRNA from 1 species